rnacentral:rRNA from 1 species
CCCUAUGGGGUGCAGCAGGCGCUGUUGAAGAUGUUGGAGGGGACGGUCGCGAACAUCCCGCCGCAAGGCGGGCGCAAGCACCCGGAGCAGCAGUACAUUCAGAUCGACACUUCGCAGAUUCUGUUCAUUUGCGCGGGGACAUUCUCGAACCUGGAAGAGAUCAUCAAGCGUCGGGUCGGCGGGAAGAACAUCGGAUUCGCCAGCGAGGAGGCUGGGGACGCGGAUACAGUGACGGCUCGGAACGAGUUGUUGCACCGCGUGGUUCCCGAGGACCUGUUCGAGUACGGGAUGAUCCCGGAGUUCAUCGGGCGGUUGCCGGUGAUCGGGGCGUUGGGGCCGUUGGACAAGACGACGCUGGUGAAGGUGCUGACCGAGCCCCGAAACGCGCUGUGCCGGCAGUACGCGAAGAUGUUCGAGUUGGCGGGAGGGC